AUUGAACGCUGGCGGCAGGCCUAACACAUGCAAGUCGAGCGAGCGGCGGACGGGUGAGUAAUGUAUGGGGAUCUGCCCGAUAGAGGGGGAUAACUACUGGAAACGGUGGCUAAUACCGCAUACUAUCCGAUGAACCCAUAUUGGAUUAGCGAGUAGUUGGGGUAUAGGCGCACCUAGGCGACGCUCUCUAGCUGGUCUGAGAGGAUGCUGGGAGACAUGGGGACUGAGACAGGUCCCAGACUCCUACGGGAGGCAGCAGGGGGUAAGUUUGCACAAUGGGCGCAAGCCUGAUGCAGCCAUGCCGCGGGUAUGAAGAAGGCCUUCGGGUUGUAAAGGACUUGCAGCGGGGAGGGGUGACCCGCAGAAGUAGCACCGGCUAACGCCGUGCCAGAAGCCGCGGUAAGAC
rnacentral:rRNA from 1 species